GUUCUCAAAGAAGCCUUUGCGGACUUUCAGUAAAUGAGUGGUGACUUCAGUAUGUCGUGUAUGCUUUGUGCAAUCAGUACUAUUCAGCGGUAAUUUAAUAAUCUAAUUAUUCAUAACUUAUUUUAGCAAGAAAAUUAAUUUCAUAGAGGAAUAUACAUAUAUGGAAAUUGAUUAGGUAAUUGAGGCUCGGUUACAUCAUACCAAAAUAAUAUGAAAUAUCAAAAAAGAGUGUCCACCCUUGUAUCUAAACUACUUAUAAAAGAGCGAUUUUGUAGUUUAUAAAUAUUUGUUAUUGGAAUUUGUAUUACUUGGAAUUGAGACGUGGGUUGCACGUGCACACUUACGAUCAUUACUUUAUACUACUUCACCAGCUGCACUACAUCGUACUCACAACAAUGGUGUAUACAUAUACGGCUCUUGUUAGUAAAUAAAAAGGUGAACUUGAGGAGACAAAAAUAGUAAUGAUGCACACAUAUACAAGUUCUCUUUUAUUUCUGAAAUGGGGAAAGUUUAAGUGCAUCUGCUCAUGAAUUACCCACUAUUUUUAGAAGUCAUUAUUUGAGAAGAAACCUUUGACUAAGAAUAAUUAGAGGCCAAUUUUGCACAAUAUUGUUUGCUUCCUUAGUAACUUGUCUAUUGUUUUUAUUUUACUUUCAGGAUAUGAGUGCAUCGUCGCAGGGGGAUCACGAGGAGCUAGCGAAGAUAAUCACCAAGGCCUUUUCUGUUUAAUUGGCUGAGAACUGCCUAAGAAUUGGCUGCUUGAUUCUUGACAGGAAAGUCUUAUGCUACAUGCUACACACUUGAUUCGCUGCUUGAACUAGGCUGAGUAGUUACAUGUACAUGCUACACACUCUAAUUUAGAUAAUCGGUUAGACCUCACCUCAUGUAACUUAAAAGGCUUGUUCUUGCAGAUGCUAAGUAAAAAGAUGAUGCACUACUAAGCUUUUGUUCAAACAAGCUUAUGCUUCAUGUGUUCCGUCAUUCAUUUGACACAAUUAAUGCCAACUCGCUAGAAAUUGAAAUGUUGUUUCAA